GUAGGUGGCAAGCGUUGUCCGGGAAUUAUUGGGGCGUAAAGCGCGCGCAGGCGGUUCUUUAAGUCUGAUGUGAAAGCCCACGGGCUCAACCGUGGAGGGUCAUUGGAAACUGGAGAACUUGAGUACAGAAGAGGAAAGCGGAAUUCCACGUGUAGCGGUGAAAUGCGUAGAGAUGUGGAGGAACACCAGUGGCGAAGGCGGCUUUCUGGUCUGUAACUGACGCUGAGUCGCGAAAGCGUGGGGAGCAAACAGGAUUAGAUACCCUGGUAGUCCACGCCGUAAACGAUGAGUGCUAAGUGUUAGGGGGUUUCCGCCCCUUAGUGCUGCAGCUAACGCAUUAAGCACUCCGCCUGGGGAGUACGGCCGCAAAGGCUGA
rnacentral:rRNA from 1 species